UCACAUCUAUAAUAAAAACCUUUCUUUGAACCAUCCCUUGGAGCACCCAUGCCCUCACUUUAUAUAUAGACUGUCUCACCAAGUAGACUAGGCUAACUGUGUAGUGAGCCCCAGGAAUCUGCCUGUCUCUACCUCUUAGUGAUGGGAUGGCUGGUAAUGGAUACUCCCAUCUUGACUGGCCUCAAGUCAGUGCUUAUAAUGACACUCAGGAGGAGUUGGGUCCUAGCCUCUGGUGUCUCUGGAAAUCAUGACUUCAAUAAUCAUACUGAUCUUCUAAACAUAUACAAUGUAAAAAUG
ensembl:sense_intronic Gm11364 predicted gene 11364